GUUAGAUAUUUUAAUCUGUACGUUUCUGCAGUAAUUUUAUGAAAUAUUAUAAAACUCGAUAGGUGCUUAAGGAGUUUUUGUAAUUAUACAUUUACACGUUAUUAUACUUAGUCACUUGAAUAAAUAAUUUACCUAUACAUCAAAGAUUAAUUUUUCGAAGCACCGGUCACCUGUUCUGGAAAUUAAUAUGUAGGUGUAUUUUUUCGGGCUAUUCGGUAUAAUUAUAAUUAAGUAUAUUCAUAAGAUUUCGAGCAGUUAUGAUUCUGAAAUGGAGAUUUUUAGAAAUGGAGAAACUAGAGAUUUUAGCGUUUAGCGUUGACCGCAAUAAUCAUAAGAAAUUAGACGGAUGAUAAUUAAACGCGAAAAAAUAAAUCGAAGUUUUUUAACUUUUGAGGAUAACAAUAUUAGGCGACUAAUAAUAACGUUGACGCGAAGUUCCAUUUUGUUUAACACGUAUUAUUAUAUACGGAUUUGUACUUUUAUUUAUUUAUUGUUUUGGUUUUUUUACCAUUUCAGCCUCUAGAACAGUCGGUUAUUGUUUAUUUUUCAAAUAAUCUCGACCAUCUGAUUGCGGUUGACGCUAAGCAGUAACCUGCCUACGUCAAGUGUGAACCCUCUUCGAGUCCGCGUAUGUCGUCCGUCCAAACCGGACCCAAUAAUUACGUUUCCAUGUAGAAAAACAUUUUCCACGGAUAAGGUUACCUAUACUUAUUUAUACUACGUUUUUUUCAGGCGGUGGAGUAAGUACUUGAGUUUCGAGAGGAGCCGGACUACAAUAAUUUCCUGCUUUUUAUUUUUUUAUUUUUUUUUUUUUUAUGCCAUUCUUCACACGAAUUAUACAUAAUACUAUUUUAUAUUACAGCAAGCAUUAUAGGAGGCAUUAUAUACCUAAACGCACGCAGUACGUAUAUUAAUCUCUAUUCUUUUUCAUAAUAUUAUUAUAUUAUACGAAUGAUAAAAAUUACUUAAUAUAAUUAUAUACAUAAAGCAGAUUAAAUGUCUAUGUCCUAUACACGAAUAAACUGCAGGAAUUAUGAAGCAAUAAAAUAUAUAUAACGCACCAUUAUGACUACAUACCGCAAUUCUAAGCUAAAAUAUAAUACGCUAUAAGUAUAAUAAUAUCUAGGUAGGUUUUUUUUUUUUGAUUUAAUACGGUAUUAUUAUCUAUUUAAUUUUUUAUUGUUAUAAUUAUUUACGUUUAGUUUUCGUGUAAAUACGUAAA